ACUCAAAGGAAUAGACGGGGACCCGCACAAGCGGUGGAUGAUGUGGAUUAAUUCGAUGCAACGCGAAAAACCUUACCUACCCUUGACAUGUCUGGAAUUCCGAAGAGAUUUGGAAGUGCUCGCAAGAGAACCGGAACACAGGUGCUGCAUGGCUGUCGUCAGCUCGUGUCGUGAGAUGUUGGGUUAAGUCCCGCAACGAGCGCAACCCUUGUCAUUAGUUGCUACGAAAGGGCACUCUAAUGAGACUGCCGGUGACAAACCGGAGGAAGGUGGGGAUGACGUCAAGUCCUCAUGGCCCUUAUGGGUAGGGCUUCACACGUCAUACAAUGGUCGGGACAGAGGGUCGCCAACCCGCGAGGGGGAGCUAAUCCCAGAAACCCGAUCGUAGUCCGGAUCGCAGUCUGCAACUCGACUGCGUGAAGUCGGAAUCGCUAGUAAUCGCGGAUCAGCAUGUCGCGGUGAAUACGUUCCCGGGUCUUGCACACACCGCCCGU
rnacentral:rRNA from 1 species